AAGGUUAGAUUGGUAUUGCAAUGAAAGAAGACAAAGCGGUAAUGAGAGAGAGACAGGGAACAAGCAGAGCAUGGAUUGAGUUUACUAAAACAUUAAACGACUCUGUUUUGUCUCUACCCAUGCACUGCCUCUUCCCUGGCUCCCUCUUUUUUUCUCUAUAUUUCUCUCUCUCCUUUCAUUUCACAGCUUUCAAUGGAAUUUUAUUGCUACUGCUAACG